UCUUCAAGAGCCCCUCUCAUCACACGAGGAACCCUUCGGUUUCCCCCAACUGCACGACCUCUCCUUUCUUCAAGCCGAUCUCUCCCACCUCCUAAACCUAAGAUUUCCACCGAAAAUCUUCAAGGAAAAUCAACCUCCCUUGGGAUUUUGGAUUUCUCUUCCACUUCUCGUCUAUUGUGUGUUAUGUGGCUUGAAAGGGAGCCAAAUCAGGUAUGUAUAAAGAGGCUAUGGAGCUAGGCACUGCUGAGGAGGGAGGGGCCGAUGCUUAGAGUUUCCCUGACGGUUCGACUUUGAGGAUGAUGGUUUAUGUUUUUAUGUUUUACGGUGGGUCCCAUUUUGGGACGUUUUGUUGGGUUAAUGUUGGGACAAUAUGUCUUCGGACAUGAUGUAAGUACUAUGGUGGGGUGAUGAUAAUGUCGUAACUUCUAUGGCGGGGUGAUUGUAACCUGACAUACGAUGGUUUAACGCCUUUUUGUAUGUGUUAUAGGGACUGAGUCCCCUCUU